GUCUCAUAGAAGCUUGUGAAACUUCAGGAAACAACAAUCGGAAAUAAAAUCAGAUAAAUGUCGAAAAUAAUUUUAUUAUUAUCAAUUUUCGUAUUGGUUGUUAUCUAUCCUGGUGUAUAUGCAUCAUGUCCUGGCGGUUGGUGCCAUCCAUCGCAAGGUUAUGGCUGUUGUGAAGGAAAUAGAUGCUCUUCAUAUUUGUUUCAAGGUGUAUGCAUGUCCAUUGUGGACUACGGUAUAAUGCACGCUAUGGGAAAAUAAUUAUAACAAUUUAGUGAACAUUUAUAACUGUACACGGAAAAAAAAAUCUGAGCGUCGGUUAGCCCUGGUCAGGGAUCAAAAUCAAGAUUUGAAUAAGUUUUGACCCAUGUAGCAAACAAUAAAAUGAGAAAUAUCCGACAAAAAUAUAAGAAACUACGUUUUUUCGAUUGUUUUGUUAAUAAUAUGAUUUGAACUAAAAACCAAGUUCGACGACAUUAUAUAAUCGAAAAAAACCAUAAUAUGGAUGAGUUGCUAUGAUUUCAGACACAUAUUAGUACGUUAUAUUAUGAUUUAUCCGGAAAAAAUAACAAAAUAUUAUUGUUUAACUUUUCAACGCCGAUAUCUUUCGUUUUUUACCAUUUCUUCCUCCAACAAUGUG